CGAAGUGGCUGAGAGCCAGCCUGGGUUUGGAUCCCAGCGCCACCACACUGUGGCCGUGGUCAUUUAGGCCACAGAACCCACAGGGGAGGGGAGUGUGGGCAGAGGUGUGGCUGGGACUGGUUUGGGUUGAGUGACCGUAAGCCCUGGUUUGCCUGGCCAAGGCUGGGUUUACGGCUGUUGGCCAGAGUCCCUUUCUGCUCUGUAAAGUGCUCUGGUUUGGACUUAUUAGCCAGCUGGUCUUAUGGCUUGUUCUGGAAGAUUCCGGGGCACUAAGGCAGGGAAUCAGCCGCCCGGUGCUUACUAGAAAGGUCCUCAUUCACGGCAAAAAGGAAAAUAAAAACAGUCCUGCUUCUCAGAAACAUGGCUGUGAUGCUGAGAACACUGCGUUUCGCCCUUUCCCCGUGCGUUUUUAAUCUACUUUGGACGUUACUGUCCACGGAAGAUGCCAUCUUGCUCGUCUUUCAUCUAACGCUGUGACGUAAGGCUUUUCCUGUGUGUUUACGCUCGGCACAGAGGUUGGUUUUGUUUUUUCAGAUGUUUUUAAUGGUUGCAUCACAUUCAGUCAUGGACCAUAAUUUACAUGGUGAAGCCUUGGAUGUCCUGGAACCUCUCCUACCUGGAGGGAGUGAUCUGGACACCCUGGCUGCUCACCUGCACUCUGGCCACAGCCUCCCCCAGACCUCUGAGCCUGGAACCUGGGUGUCUGGCGGCGUCUCACAUUGAGAAAAGGCACCCUGGAGGAGGAGCAGUUUUGGAGGGAAGAUGCCAAGAUCCAUCUGUACAGACUGUCUGAGGUGCCUCCGGCGCGAGCAGUUGGAGCUGCGGAUAUGAGCACACGACGUGCUCCUUCCCCCAAAUGUUCCCGGCCUCAGUGAGCAGCAUGUGGUCCAGACCCGGAGCCAGACACAGAGCAGGCAUCUCUGACACUGGCUUCUCCUCCCCACUCUGGUCUCUAAUCCAUCUCUCAGUUCUCCUAAUUUUCCUUCUCCACGAGCCUCUUUUUUUUUCCCCUAAACCAAGUAUGUAUGUAUGUAUGUAUGUAUAUAUUUUUACAUUUUAAAAAUUGAGUUAUAGUCA